GAGACCCACGCCAACAGUUGCCAGCAUGUCCUCCGGGAUGGUGGGGACACUGUUGGGACCGCCUCUGCUAAAGAGGAGGAAGGAAUGGGCAACGGUAGGUCAGCAUGCCCCGAAUUAUCCGGGCUACACGCGGGCUACAAUGGUCAGGACAAUGGGUAUCGACACCGAGAGGUGAAGGCAAUCUCUUAAACCUGUCCUUAGUUCGGAUUGUGGGCUGCAACUCGCCCACAUGAAGCUGGAAUCCGUAGUAAUCGCGCUUCAAAAGAGCGCGGUGAAUAC
rnacentral:rRNA from 1 species